CAACUACGGUUCAUUCCAUUUCAUGGUGUGAACUUAUGGUUGAUGAUUCUCAUGAAUCAAGUGUCUUCACAGACAUUAAGGAGGACUUAGGCCUUUGCCAUAAUCAAGCCUUUGUCUAACCUCCCAGAGCAAACAACUCUGGAUCCUUAAUUGGAUAAGCCACUUAGUGGUUGGCAACUUGUGGACCAUGAUUCGGAUUUAUCCGAUGAGUCUGCAGGGACUGGGAAUUACGAACUCCCAUUGCACCACCGGUGACCCCCUUUAAGGGUGGCUAAGGUGAUUUCCUUGCAGGUACUCAGCAUUUUGGAAGCUCAGUAUUUGUGUGGA
rnacentral:lncRNA from 1 species